rnacentral:miRNA from 10 species
UCGGGAAUAGCUGCAGAAUGCU